AAGCGGUGGAGUAUGUGGUUUAAUUCGAUGCAACGCGAAGAACCUUACCUGGUCUUGACAUCCCGGAGACCCUUAGGAAACUAGGGGGUGCUUCCAUCUGGAAGAAUCUGGAGACAGGUGCUGCAUGGCUGUCGUCAGCUCGUGUCGUGAGAUGUUGGGUUAAGUCCCGCAACGAGCGCAACCCUUGCCUUUAGUUGCCAGCAGUUCGGCUGGGCACUCUAAAGGGACUGCCGGUGUUAAACCGGAGGAAGGUGGGGAUGACGUCAAGUCCUCAUGGCCUUUAUGACCAGGGCUACACACGUACUACAAUGGCCGAUACAAAGGGCAGCGACAUCGCGAGGUGAAGCCAAUCCCAUAAAAUCGGUCUCAGUCCGGAUUGGAGUCUGCAACUCGACUCCAUGAAGUUGGAAUCGCUAGUAAUCGUGGAUCAGCAUGCCACGGUGAAUACGUUCCCGGGCCUU
rnacentral:rRNA from 1 species